GUUGCACAUUGUUAAAACCUGACACCAUUGUUGGUGUAUAGGUGUCGGAAGUGUGCUAGAGCAAUUUGGCUGGGUUUUCGCUGACACCAUUAGGGCUUCUGCCCAAUGAUUGGGGUUUGAUAGUGACCUGAGCCACACUU